GGGCCCGCACAAGCGGUGGAGCAUGUGGUUUAAUUCGAUGAUACGCGAGGAACCUUACCAGGGCUUAAAUGUAAGUUGCAUGGAUCAGAGAUGAUCCUUUCUUCGGACCACUUACAAGGUGCUGCAUGGUUGUCGUCAGCUCGUGCCGUGAGGUGUCAGGUUAAGUCCUAUAACGAGCGCAACCCCUAUCGUUAGUUGCCAGCAAGUAAAGUUGGGUACUCUAGCGAAACUGCCGGUGCAAACCGAGAGGAAGGUGGGGAUGACGUCAAAUCAUCACGGCCCUUACGUUCUGGGCUACACACGUGCUACAAUGGUCGGUACAGAAAGCAGCCACUAUGCGAAUAGGAGCGAAUCUUCAAAGCCGAUCACAGUUCGGAUUGGAGUCUGCAACUCGACUCUAUGAAGCUGGAAUCGCUAGUAAUCGCGCAU
rnacentral:rRNA from 1 species